AGUGAACGCUGGCGGUAGGCCUAACACAUGCAAGUCGAACGGCAGCACAGCAGUAGCAAUACUGUGGGUGGCGAGUGGCGGACGGGUGAGGAAUACAUCGGAAUCUACCUUUUCGUGGGGGAUAACGUAGGGAAACUUACGCUAAUACCGCAUAAGACCUUCGGUGAAAGACCGGGGACCGUUCGGGCCUGGCGCGGAUAGAUGAGCCGAUGUCGGAUUAGCUUGUUGGCGGGGUAAAGGACCCACCAAGGCGACGAUCCGUAGCUGGUCUGAGAGGAUGAUCAGCCACACUGGAACUGAGACACGGUCCAGACUCCUACGGGAGGCAGCAGUGGGGAA
rnacentral:rRNA from 1 species